AUGUCCUGGCCACCAUCCUGGUGUACUCUUCCCUGGGUGGAAAGAGAACUGCCUGGAGAGGCCUGCGUCCUCAUCCGUGCACCCUUCAAAGACCACAGGAGUCAGACGUGCUGGGAGCCCAAACACAAGCCCAGUGAGUCCCAGGAUGAGCUGCAGCCUCAGCCUACUUUCUCCUGGGUAGAGUUUUCGCGGUCAGCGCCCUUCUGCUCUACUCUGCUUCAACUUUGUGUUGCUGACCUUCCCGCAGUUACUCCCUGA
rnacentral:lncRNA from 1 species